AACGAACGCUGGCGGCAGGCCUAACACAUGCAAGUCGAGCGCCCCGCAAGGGGAGCGGCGGACGGGUGAGUAACGCGUGGGAACGUACCCUUUGCUACGGAAUAGCCUCGGGAAACUGGGAGUAAUACCGUAUGUGCCCUUGGGGGAAAGAUUUAUCGGCAAAGGAUCGGCCCGCGUUGGAUUAGGUAGUUGGUGGGGUAAUGGCCUACCAAGCCGACGAUCCAUAGCUGGUUUGAGAGGAUGAUCAGCCACACUGGGACUGAGACACGGCCCAGACUCCUACGGGAGGCAGCAGUGGGGAAUCUUAGACAAUGGGCGCAAGCCUGAUCUAGCCAUGCCGCGUGAGCGAUGAAGGCCUUAGGGUUGUAAAGCUCUUUCAGCCGGGAAGAAAACGCAUGGGUUAAUACCCUGUGUGGAUGACGGUACCGGAAUAAGAAGCACCGGCUAACUACGUGCCAGCAGCCGCGGUAAAGUACAGUGU
rnacentral:rRNA from 1 species